rnacentral:rRNA from 1 species
ACGGGAGGCAGCAGUGGGGAAUAUUGGGCAAUGGGGGAAACCCUGACCUAGCAACGCCGCGUGAAGGAAGAAGGCUUUCGGGUUGUAAACUUCUUUUAAGAGGGACGAACACAAUGACGGUACCUCUUGAAUAAGCCACGGCUAACUACGUGCCAGCAGCCGCGGUAAUACGUAGGUGGCAAGCGUUAUCCGGAUUUACUGGGUGUAAAGGGCGCGUAGGCGGAGCGGCAAGUCAGAUGUGAAAUCUCUGGGCUUAACCCGGAAACUGCAUUUGAAACUGUCGCCCUUGAGUGUCGGAGAGGUAGAUGGAAUUCCUAGUGUAGCGGUGAAAUGCGUAGAUAUUAGGAGGAACACCAGUGGCGAAGGCGAUCUACUGGACGAUAACUGACGCUGAGGCGCGAAAGCGUGGGGAGCAAACAGGAUUAGAUACCCUAGUA